rnacentral:rRNA from 1 species
UACGAAGGGGGCGAGCGUUGUUCGGAUUUACUGGGCGUAAAGGGCGCGCAGGCGGCUCAUUUUGUCAGGCGUGAAAGCCCCGGGCUUAACCUGGGAACUGCGUUUGAUACGGAUGGGCUAGAGUUCGGGGAGAGGAGAGUGGAAUUCCCAGUGUAGAGGUGAAAUUCGUAGAUAUUGGGAAGAACACCGGUGGCGAAGGCGGCUCUCUGGACCGAUACUGACGCUGAGGCG